rnacentral:rRNA from 1 species
AGAGUUUGAUCCUGGCUCAGGAUGAACGCUGACAGAAUGCUUAACACAUGCAAGUCAACUUGAAUUUGGGUUUUUAACUUAGGUUUGGGUGGCGGACGGGUGAGUAACGCGUAAAGAACUUGCCUCACAGCUAGGGACAACAUUUGGAAACGAAUGCUAAUACCUAAUAUUAUGAUAAUAGGGCAUCCUAUAAUUAUGAAAGCUAUAAGCGCUGUGAGAGAGCUUUGCGUCCCAUUAGCUAGUUGGAGAGGUAACGGCUCACCAAGGCGAUGAUGGGUAGCCGGCCUGAGAGGGUGAUCGGCCACAAGGGGACUGAGACACGGCCCUUACUCCUACGGGAGGCAGCAGUGGGGAAUAUUGGACAAUGGACCAAGAGUCUGAUCCAGCAAUUCUGUGUGCACGAUGAAGUUUUUCGGAAUGUAAAGUGCUUUCAGUUGGGAAGAAAGAAAUGACGGUACCAACAGAAGAAGUGACGGCUAAAUACGUGCCAGCAGCCGCGGUAAUACGUAUGUCACGAGCGUUAUCCGGAUUUAUUGGGCGUAAAGCGCGUCUAGGUGGUUAUGUAAGUCUGAUGUGAAAAUGCAGGGCUCAACUCUGUAUUGCGUUGGAAACUGUAUAACUAGAGUACUGGAGAGGUAAGCGGAACUACAAGUGUAGAGGUGAAAUUCGUAGAUAUUUGUAGGAAUGCCGAUGGGGAAGCCAGCUUACUGGACAGAUACUGACGCUGAAGCGCGAAAGCGUGGGUAGCAAACAGGAUUAGAUACCCUGGUAGUCCACGCCGUAAACGAUGAGUGUUAGGUGUCUGGAGUAAAUCUGGGUGCCGCAGCUAACGCAUUAAACACUCCGCCUGGGGAGUACGCACGCAAGUGUGAAA